rnacentral:rRNA from 1 species
AUUGAACGCUGGCGGCAGGCCUAACACAUGCAAGUCGAGCGAGAGGCGGACGGGUGAGUAAUGUCGGGGAAACUGCCUGAUGGAGGGGGAUAACUACUGGAAACGGUAGCUAAUAACGCAUACAAUCAGAUGUGCCCAGAUGGGAUUAGCUAGUAGGUGGGGUAACGGCUCCCCUAGGCGACGAUCCCUAGCUGGUCUGAGAGGAUGACCAGCCACACGGGAACUGGGACACGGUCCAGCCUCCUACGGAAGCCCGCAGUGGGAAAUAUUGCACAAUGGGCGCAAGCCUGACGCAGCAAUGCCGGUUGUGUGAAGAAGGCCUUCGGGUUGUAAAGCCCUUUCAGCAGGGAGGCGUUACCCGAAGAAGAAGGACCGGCUAACUCCGUGCCAGCCGCCGCGGUAAUAC